rnacentral:rRNA from 1 species
AACAAACGCUGGCGGCGUGCCUAACACGUGCAAGUCGUACGAGAAAGUCGGCUUCGGCCGGUGAGUAAAGUGGCGCACGGGUGAGUAACGCGUGGAUAAUCUGCCCUCCGGUCAGGAAUAACCAAUCGAAAGGUUGGCUAAUACCCGAUCACACUCUUGCACUGCGGUGCAAUAGUCAAAGAUGGCCUCUGUAUACAAGCUAUCGCCGGGGGAUGAGUCCGCGUACCAUUAGCUGGUUGGUGGGGUAAUGGCCUACCAAGGCGAUGAUGGUUAGCUGGUCUGAGAGGAUGGCCAGCCACACUGGAACUGAGACACGGUCCAGACUCCUACGGGAGGCAGCAGUGAGGAAUCUUGCGCAAUGGGGGAAACCCUGACGCAGCAACGCCGCGUGGAGUGAGGACGCCGUCGGUACGUAACGCUCGUGUCGUAGGGUAGGGAAAGUAAACGUCGAGUAGGAAGGUACGAAACCUAACCCUACCUACCUUCCGUUACGGUAACCCGGUAACCCCAACCGAAGGGAAAGGGAACGACCCGGACCCGGUAACCCG